rnacentral:rRNA from 1 species
GAUGAACGCUGGCGGCGUGCCUAAUACAUGCAAGUCGAGCGAACAGACGAGGAGCUUGCUCCUCUGACGUUAGCGGCGGACGGGUGAGUAACACGUGGAUAACCUACCUAUAAGACUGGGAUAACUUCGGGAAACCGGAGCUAAUACCGGAUAAUAUAUUGAACCGCAUGGUUCAAUAGUGAAAGACGGUUUUGCUGUCACUUAUAGAUGGCUCCGCGCCGCAUUAGCUAGUUGGUAAGGUAACGGCUUACCAAGGCAACGAUGCGUAGCCGACCUGAGAGGGUGAUCGGCCACACUGGAACUGAGACACGGUCCAGACUCCUAAGGGAGGCAGCAGUAGGGAAUCUUCCGCAAUGGGCGAAAGCCUGACGGAGCAACGCCGCGUGAGUGAUGAAGGUCUUCGGAUCGGAAAACUCUGUUAUUAGGGAAGAACAAAUGUGUAAGUAACUAUGCACGUCUUGACGGUGCCUAAUCAGAAAGCCACGGCUAACUACGUG